UAGGUCACUGGGUAAUUUUAGCCAAAUUAACUGCUUUUGUAAGGUGAAUCAGGAUUCUCAAAGUUUAGCCUAAGCUACCUAUCAUUCUACUGGAAAUGGCAACUCUGGGAACUUGUAUUCAUGUAUCUUUUCAAAGUACUACACGAUUAAUUGCAUUCUUGGUUAGUGGUAAUGGGACAUAUAGUGGGAAUAUCUUUAUUCAUUUUUAAUGAUAUUAUGGAAUUUGUUAAU
rnacentral:misc_RNA from 1 species